AUUGCACGCUAGCGGGAUGCUUUACACAUGCAAGUCGAACGAGUGGCGGACGGGUUAGUAAUAUAUCGGAACGUGCCCAGUAGCGGGGGAUAACUACUCGAAAGAGUGGCUAAUACCGCUUACUAUUGCAGCGGCCGAUAUCGGAUUAGCUAGUUGGUGGGGUAAAGUCUCACCAAGGCAACGAUCCGUAGCUGGUUUGAGAGGACGACCAUCCACACUGGGACUGAGACACGGACCAGACUCCUACGCGAGGCAGCAGUGGGGAAUUUUGGACAAUGGGCGAAACCCUGAUACAGCCAUCCCGCGUGUAUGAGAAGGCCUUCGGGUUGUAAAGGACUUUUGGCUGAGAAGCGGUAUCUACAGAAUAAGCACCGGCUAACUACGUGCCAGCAGCCGCGGUAAUAC
rnacentral:rRNA from 1 species